rnacentral:rRNA from 1 species
UACGGAGGGAGCUAGCGUUGUUCGGAAUUACUGGGCGUAAAGCGUGCGUAGGCGGUGAUCUAAGUCAGAGGUGAAAUCCCGGGGCUCAACCCCGGAACUGCCUUUGAAACUGGGUCGCUAGAAUCUUGGAGAGGUCAGUGGAAUUCCGAGUGUAGAGGUGAAAUUCGUAGAUAUUCGGAAGAACACCAGUGGCGAAGGCGACUGACUGGACAAGUAUUGACGCUGAGGUACGAAAGCGUGGGGAGCAAACAGG